ACAACGACUGAACGAUAGAGCGUCAGCGUACGUGUGAAGUUAGUUUGCAAAAUUUUGCUAUGAAAUGCCGACCACUGGUAUAGUUAGACUUCUUGGCAAGGUACUACAGUCGCUACCUAGCUAGGAGAUCGUAGCAAUAGCAUGUAUCGUUGAACAAAGCAUUAUAGUCGUUUUAAAAAGUGUUCCACCCAACCAAUUAUCGUCAUUUAAGAAAAUAUUGGCAGUGGCAUUCCUACUAAGUACAUCACUAAUGCAAGCGCCGACACCUAGGCUGUUGGAGUAUUUGAAUGUUAUUUUUGUAAUCAAGGAAUUUGAGACGGAAGGAAACACUUACUAGUAUUCAUGAGAUUGUGUUUAAGUUAAGAGAAGAACGUUGAAUGCGGCAUAACCAUUGCUACUAAAAUCAACGAUUCAAGAUUACACCGAAUUACUACGGAUUUGGGUUGUAUACAUAAGCGGAGCAAAAGUAUAACAACAAAGAAAAUGUUUACAACCAGAGAGAAUUAUUAAAGACUAUCAGACAGUUGAAGUGACGACAAAGUUUCUCAAAUCGAAAUGACAAUUGAAACAGCAAUUUCAUAUACCAAACGUAUAAUUACUCUAAUAAAGAUUUUCAACUCCGUGAAACACAA